CCAAGACGAGACAGAAUCCACCUUGUCUCAAGAGCAGAGGAGGCUAUCUUGUCAUCCCUCGUCUGCCCACUAGGUGGCACUUCUCAGUGGCUAGUACACUUGACAACACACCACUGGUGAGCUUCAAAGGGCCAUCACUUCCACAACCCAAGACCCGCUUGUUUUACCAGGAAAGCAUCCCAGGUGUGUUGGCUUUAAUCAGGAUAACAUUAAUAAACAAAUUGGAAACUGCACGAGUCGGAAUGUAAAUUAUUUACAGUGGAUUGAAGAGCUCAGAGGGCUUUAGAAGCUGGCCGUGAAGGUGGGCGUGGCAUCCUCAGGGCCAAGUGCGCACACUGCCAUUCACCAGAGCUGCUCCCCGGAUAGGCCUGAGGCACUGGGAUGCAGGAACCAGCAGAAUGACAAUGUGUGAGAGACAGAUUGCUAGAUGGGCAACCAUGACACAAUCUAGGUUGUUCAUGAUGGCAUGGUGACGGCUGUCUUCAUACUACAGCAGCUGGAACCCCAGUGGAUGUUCAGAUCACAAGACUGGACACCUGAGCAGUUUCAACCUUGCUCUGCAGACCUGGAGGAUGCCUGGAAAGUUCCUGGCUUUCAGUCCGUGUUGGAAGCCUGAAGGAGCUGGAGCCUGGUACGAGUAAAGGAUGUGUCUUUCAUGAA